UGGGCUAAGCACCAACAAGUGAAACAAGGGC
rnacentral:piRNA from 1 species